GAUGAACGCUGGCGGCGUGCUUAACACAUGCAAGUCGAACGAUGAAGCCCAGCUUGCUGGGUGGAUUAGUGGCGAACGGGUGAGUAACACGUGAGUAACCUGCCCUUAACUCUGGGAUAAGCCUGGGAAACUGGGUCUAAUACCGGAUAGGAGCGUCCACCGCAUGGUGGGUGUUGGAAGAUUUAUCGGUUUUGGAUGGACUCGCGGCCUAUCAGCUUGUUGGUGAGGUAAUGGCUCACCAAGGCGACGACGGGUAGCCGGCCUGAGAGGGUGACCGGCCACACUGGGACUGAGACACGGCCCAGACUCCUACGGGAGGCAGCAGUGGGGAAUAUUGCACAAUGGGCGCAAGCCUGAUGCAGCGACGCCGCGUGAGGGAUGACGGCCUUCGGGUUGUAAACCUCUUUCAGUAGGGAAGAAGCGAAAGUGACGGUACCUGCAGAAGAAGCACCGGCUAACUACGUG
rnacentral:rRNA from 1 species